AUUGAACGCUGGCGGCAUGCUUUACACAUGCAAGUCGAACGGCAGCGCGGGCUUCGGCCUGGCGGCGAGUGGCGAACGGGUGAGUAAUACAUCGGAACGUGCCCAGUAGUGGGGGAUAGCUCGGCGAAAGCCGGAUUAAUACCGCAUACGACCUGAGGGUGAAAGCGGGGGAUCUUCGGACCUCGCGCUAUUGGAGCGGCCGAUGGCAGAUUAGCUAGUUGGUGGGGUAAAGGCCUACCAAGGCGACGAUCUGUAGCUGGUCUGAGAGGACGACCAGCCACACUGGGACUGAGACACGGCCCAGACUCCUACGGGAGGCAGCAGUGGGGAAUUUUGGACAAUGGGCGAAAGCCUGAUCCAGCAAUGCCGCGUGUGUGAUGAAGGCCUUCGGGUUGUAAAGCACUUUUGGCGGGAACGAAAAGGACUGUGCCAAUUCCACGGUUCGAUGACGGUACCCGCAGAAUAAGCACCGGCUAACUACGUG
rnacentral:rRNA from 1 species